UGCACACCCCACUCUAUCCGAACGUAGUGAGAUUUGUGCGGAGCGCUGCCUUGCGUAGCACUGUGGGAGGAGUCGUGUAAGGUGACCAGGGUAAGAUCGUGAAGAGAAAGGGAAUGGGCUCAUGGAUCUGGUGGCCAGCGUUGGAUCCAAGGUGGUUGUCACCAUGGAGCACUCAGCUAAGGCCGGUGGUUCCUGGUCUCCUGGCUGAUGCUGUCCCCCACGACACCCCUCCGCCCCCCCUGGAUGUCGAGGAAGGUCCCGCCUAUGCCGUCAGAUCCCUACUGGACUCCCGACAUCGUGGCGGUUGGCUCCAUUACCUGGUGGACUGGGAGGGGUACGGCCCAGAGGAGCAGAGUUGGGAUCCGGUGGAGGACAUUCUGGAUCCCAACAUAAUCCGUUGGAGCUGUCACGUGGGGUACUGUCACGUCUACUCCUGCUCCUUCCCUCCGGCGUUUGACAUCGCUGGUUUACUAACCACUGGUCCUGGUAACCAUCAUUAUGCGUACUUGGCAUCAAUGAUUACUCGCACCUGUGCUUCAUUAGGAGUCACACCUGGACUCGAUUACCUCACUUAUUACCUCCCUUUAUCUGGCACUCCCUCAAGUUCUCUCCCAAGGCAGAACUGUUUCUGUGUUUCAUGUCAAGAUGCUCAUUCCAUGUUCUUUGUUAUAUUAAUCUUAUCACCUGCCUCUCGACCCCCAGCGUCUACGUCACACGCUACAAGCUUGGCACACCUGUAUUUGGGUAGUUUCUCCCAUUCUUCUCUGUAGAUCCUCUCAAGCUCUGUCAGGUUGGAUGGGGAUCGUCGCUGCACAGCUAUUUUCAGGUCUCUCCAGAGAUGUUUGAUUGGGUUCUAGUCCGGCUCUGGCUGGGCCACUCAAGGACAUUCAGAGACUUUCCCCGAAGCCACUCCUGUAUUUUCUUGGCUGUGUACUUAGGGUCGUUGUCAUGUUGGAAUGUGAACCUUCACCCCAGUCUGAGGUCCUUGGCACUCUGGAGCAGGUUUUCAUGAAGGAUCUCUCUGUACUUUGCUCCGUUCAUAUUUCCCUCGAUCCUGACUAGUCUCCCAGUCCCUGCCACUGAAAAACAUCCCCACAGCAUGAUGCUGCCACCACCAUGCUUCACCGUAGGGAUGGUGCCAGGUUUCCUACAGAUGUGACACUUGGCAUUCAGGCCAAAGAGUUCACUCUUGGUUUCAUCAGACCAGAGAAUCUUGUUUCUCAUGGUCUGAGAUACCUUUAGGUGCCUUUUGGCAAACUCCAAGGGGGCUGUCAUGUGCCUUUUACUGAGGAGUGGCUUCCAUCUGGCCUCUCUACCAUAAAGACAUGAUUGGUGGAGUGCUGCAGAGAUGAUUGUCCUUCUGGAAGGUUCUCCCAUCUCCACAGAGGAACUCUUGAGCUCUGUCAGAGUGACCAUCGGGUUCUAGGUCACCCCUCUAACCAACGCCCCCCGGUUGCUCAGUUUUCCUAGAGCUGGCUGCCCGACCAGAGUCUUGGUGGUUCAAACUUCUUCCAUUUAAGAAUGAUGGAGCCCACUGUGUUCUUGAGGACCUUCAAUUCUGCAUACAGUUUUUGGUACCCUUCCCCAGAUCUGUGCCUCGACACAAUCCUGUCUCAGAGCUCUACUGACAAUUCCUAUGACCUCAUGUCUUGGUUUUUGCUCUGACAUGCACUGUAGGACCUUAUAUAGACAGGUGUGUGCCUUUCCAAAUCAUGUCCAAUCAAUUGAAUUUACCACAGGUGGGAUCCAAUUAAGUUGUAGAAACAUCUCAAGGAUGAUCAAUGGAAACAGGAUGCACCUGAGCUCAAUUUCGAGUCUCAUAGCAAAAGGUAUGAAUACUAAUGUCAAUAAGUUAUUUCUCUUUUUUUAAAUAAAAGGAUGGUUUAUUGUGUGUAGAUUGCCUAGGAUUUUUUCUAAAUCCAUUUUAGAUUAAGGCUGUAACGUAACAAAAGGUGGAAAAAGUCAAGGGGUCUGAAUACUUUCCGAAGGCACAGUAUAUUUAUCUCUGGAAUACAGUUUAAAGUAUUACAUACAUUUUAAAAUGUAUUUGAAAUACAUUUUACAUGAUGUUAAAUAUACUGAACAAAUAUAUAAACUCAACAUAUAGAGUGUUGGUCCCAUGUUUCAUGAGCUGAAAUAAAAGAUCCCAGACAUGUUCCAUAAGAACAAAAAGCUUAAUUCUCACAUUUUGUGCAAACAUUUGUUUACAUCCCUGUUAGUGAGCAUUUCUCCUUUGCCAAAAUAAUCCAUCCACCUGACAGGUGGGGCAUAUCAAGAAGAUGAUUAAACACAUGAUCAUUCCACAGGUGCACCUCGAGCUGAUGACAAUAAAAGGCCACUCUAAAAUGUUCAGUUUUGUCACACAACAGAAAGCCACUGAUGUCUCAAGUUUUGCCAGAGAAUUUAAUGUUUUUUCUCUCCAAAAUCAUUUGACAGAAAUUGGCGUUACGUCCAUCAAGCCUCACAACCGCAGACCACAUGUAACUACGCCAGUCCAGGACCUCAACAUCCGGCUUCUUCACCUGCGGGAUCAUCUGAGAUCAGCCAACUGUACAGCUAACGACUCUGAGGAGUAUUUCUGUCUGUAAUAAAGCCCUUUUGUGGGGAAAACUA